rnacentral:rRNA from 1 species
UUCCGGUUGAUCCUGCCGGAGGUUACUGCUAUCGAGGUUCGACUAAGCCAUGCGAGUCGAAUGUAGCAAUACAUGGCGAACUGCUCAGUAACACGUGGACAACCUGCCCUUAGGUUGGGUAUAAACCCGGGAAACUGGGUAUAAUACCCGAUAGGUCUCGAUUGCUGGAAUGCAUCGAGAUUUAAAGCUCCGGCGCCUAAGGAUGGGUCUGCGGCCUAUCAGGUAGUAGUGGGUGUAGCGUACCUACUAGCCUACGACGGGUACGGGUUGUGAGAGCAAGAGCCCGGAGAUGGAUUCUGAGACACGAAUCCAGGCCCUACGGGGUGCAGCAGGCGCGAAAACUUUACAAUGCUGGCAACAGCGAUAAGGGAACCUCGAGUGCCAGGUUACAAAUCUGGCUGUCGAGAUGCCUAAAAAGCAUUUCAUAGCAAGGGCCGGGCAAGACCGGUGCCAGCCGCCGCGGUAACACCGGCGGCUCGAGUGGUAACCGUUAUUAUUGGGUCUAAAGGGUCUGUAGCCGGCCGGAUAAGUCUCUUGAGAAAUCUGGCAGCUUAACUGUCAGGCUUUCAGGAGAUACUGUCUGGCUCGAGGCCGGGAGAGGUGAGAGGUACUUCAGGGGUAGGGGUGAAAUCUUGUAAUCCUUGAAGGACCACCAGUGGCGAAGGCGUCUCACCAGAACGGACCUGACGGCAAGGGACGAAAGCUAGGGGCACGAACCGGAUUAGAUACCCGGGUAGUCCUAGCCGUAAACGAUACUCGCUAGGUGUCGGCCACGGUGCGACCGUUGUCGGUGCCGUAGGGAAGCCGUGAAGCGAGCCACCUGGGAGUACGGCCGCAAGGCUGAAACUUAAAGGA